rnacentral:tRNA from 1 species
GCUAGCGUAGCUUAACUCAAAGCAUGGCACUGAAGAUGCUAAGAUGAGUCCUAAAAAACUCCGCAUGCA